GCAGCAGUAGCAUAGUGGUAAGGAGCAGGGCUCGUAACCGAAAGGUUGCUGGUUCGAUUCCCCACUGGCACUGCUGCU